ensembl:lncRNA
CUCCUCUCCCAGCUGAGCUUGCAGCUGCUGCUGCGUUAAAUCACUGUUGUUUCCACCAAUGAGUUGUUCCCCUAAAAUCCGCCAGCGUGGCUGCGGAGCGUAGAGAUCCAAUGGAAGACAAUUCUACUCACGGUUUAAAGUGGCUUCCACCAGAGAGGAGUCACCAGUCAGCUGAGAUGAAGAACACCGUUGGCAGCAGAGCUGAGGAAUCACCUCCCUCUUCUGGGGCACUGUACAUACACUCAUUUUGCAUGGCAUGGGUACACUUUGCAGCACAUUUUUUUCUUCGUUCUACCUGUUUCCAGCAUUUUGGAACAGCAUGACUGCUCAUGGCUAUCACAGUUGACCACAAUAAUUACAAGCCUCCGGAGUCCAACACAAGACAGUCUAAGGUUGUGGCUUCUUGACUGCUCUCAAUUGCUUCGAUAAGCUGAUUGCAGGCUGCAAUAUAACGUGUUUGAAGAGACAGUAAUGCUACAGCUCAAGUCCAACCAUUCUCAUUGCUGCUGAGAACACCAGGGAAGCAGUAGACACAGUCGAUUUUUAAGGCUUCUGAAUCUUGACGUACCCACCUCCCAACUUUGAUACAUCAACACACAGAGUUCAAGGAACACCCCCAGGAAAACAAUCUCUCGGAUAAAUAGGAAGGAAAGGAGCAUUUGCUUAAGAUGUUAAACGUAACCUAAUUAGUAAAUGAAGUGCAAUUCAAAUAAGGCGUGGAGAAUUCCUACGUGGCAGUGCUACGCCACUGGUGAAUUUCUGUGUAGUAGAAGAAAAAAAAAUAAAACAGAUGAUGCCAAAGGAAAUAAAGCUUUAAGUUCAGAACAGAGGCAUAGAUUCACAUUUUUCUUUGAAGACUACUUAAAAUCAAAAGAGAAUAAAUCUUCCUGAGCACACCCACAUUCAAAGACUAAGUUUCCAAAGAGGUGGGCCUUUGAAGGUAGGAACGUGUGCAAGGACACAAUUGCUGGACCACAGCAAUGACACCUCAGAAUCCCUUUUUAUUAUCACAGAGAUCAAAUCUUCUCCAUCUGCUGAAGACAAUUGGAUGUUAUUGACCCUUAUCAGCCUUCACCUCUGCAAAGUACAUUCAUAUAACUCUUUAUAGCACCAAGCUAUCUUACUUUGUGUAAGUCAAACUGUUAAUCAUUGAAUUGAGUCUGCUUUCUGACCUAGGAGCAAGGAAAGUCCCUGGCUUGGCUUUUGUUCCUGAACCUGUCACCCCUGGAAGACGAUUUUCUAUCAUCACAAUUAAGGACAAGGGGAAAGUUUAUUAUCUCCCAUGAUUAUUCACGCUCUCCUAAGCCACUGUGUUUGUUGCUAUCUGAAUUCACACUGUACUAGUAACUGUGCUGACAGUACUCAUGUACUCAGCCUGCACGAGCUGGCAGUACACAAGAGUGAGGUCACGCUCUCUUCCCAGCAGGUAUCUGGUCGCUCAGGUGAUCUCAGCUCUGGGUGCUUAAUGCCUGCUGCAGGUGGCAGGACGCAGUGCGGAGUGGAGAAGGGAAGCGUUGGACUCCACGUCUCAUGACUUAAUUAAUUACGAGUAUCAGCUGAAGAGUGGCAGAUUAUGUUUUAUUGACAUUCCUCUUUUAGAUUAAUCCCAG